CCUACGGGUGGCAGCAGUGGGGGAUAUUGCACAAUGGGGGGAACCCUGAUGCAGCGACGCCGCGUGGGUGAAGAAGCGCCUCGGCGCGUAAAGCCCUGUCAGCAGGGAAGAAAAUGACGGUACCUGAAGAAGAAGCCCCGGCUAACUACGUGCCAGCAGCCGCGGGAAUACGUAGGGGGCAAGCGUUAUCCGGAUUUACGUGGGGUAAAGGGGGCGCAGACGGCGAUGCAAGCCAGGAGUGAAAGCCCGGGGCCCAACCCCGGGACUGCGUUUGGAACUGCGUGGCUGGAGUGCAGGAGGGGGAGGCGGAAUUCCUGGUGGAGCGGGGAAAUGCGGAGAGAGCAGGAGGAACACCGGUUGCGAAGGCGGCCUGCUGGACUGCAACUGACGUUGAGGCCCGAAAGCGUGGGGAGCAAACAGGAUUAGAUACCCCAGUAGUC
rnacentral:rRNA from 1 species